rnacentral:rRNA from 1 species
AGAAUCGUGGAGGUAGAGCACUGAUUGGGUGCGGGGCCCGCAAGGGUUACCAAGCUCAGUCAAACUCCGAAUGCCAUAGAUUUAGUUCCGGGAGUCAGACAGUGAGUGCUAAGAUCCAUUGUCGAAAGGGAAACAGCCCAGACCAUCAGCUAAGGUCCCCAAGUGUGUGUUAAGUGGGAAAGGAUGUGGAGUUGCACAGACAACCAGGAUGUUGGCUUAGAAGCAGCCACCAUUGAAAGAGUGCGUAAUAGCUCACUGGUCGAGUGACUCUGCGCCGAAAAUGUAACGGGGCUAAACACACCACCGAAGCUAUGGCUUGAUGCUUGCAUCAGGGGUAGGGGAGCGUUGAAUGCGGGUUGAAGGUGUACCGUAAGGAGCGCUGGACUGCAUUCAAGUGAGAAUGCCGGUAUGAGUAACGAAAAGAUCUGUGAGAAUCAGAUCCGCCGAAAGCCUAAGGGUUCCUGAGGAAGGUUCGUCCGCUCAGGGUAAGUCGGGACCUAAGGCGAGGCCGAUAGGCGUAGUCGAAGGACAACAGGUCGAAAUUCCUGUACCACCGUAAUCCGUUAUGAGCGAUGGGGUGACGCAGUAGGGUAGUGACGCGGACUGAUGGAUGUCCGUCUAAGCAGUGAGGCUGAUGUGUAGGCAAAUCCGCACAUCGUAAGGCUGGGCUGUGAUGGGGAGCGAAAAUUAUAGUAGCGAAGGUCAUGAUCUCAGACUGCCAAGAAAAGCCUCUAGCCAGGAGAAGGUGCCCGUACCGCAAACCGACACAGGUAGGCGAGAAGAGAAUUCUAAGGCGCGCGGAAGAACUCUCGUUAAGGAACUCGGCAAAAUGACCCCGUAACUUCGGGAGAAGGGGUGCCUCGGUAGGGUGAAUAGCCCGAGGGGGCCGCAGUGAAAAGGCCCAAGCGACUGUUUAGCAAAAACACAGGUCUGUGCGAAGCCGCAAGGCGAAGUAUACGGGCUGACGCCUGCCCGGUGCUGGAAGGUUAAGGGGAGUGGUAAGCCCUUCGGGGCGAAGCUAUGAACCGAAGCCCCAGUAAACGGCGGCCGUAACUAUAACGGUCCUAAGGUAGCGAAAUUCCUUGUCAGGUAAAUUCUGACCCGCACGAAUGGCGUAACGACUUGGGCGCUGUCUCAACGAGAGAUCCGGUGAAAUUUUAAUACCUGUGAAGAUGCAGGUUACCCGCGACAAGACGGAAAGACCCCAUGGAGCUUUACUGCAGCUUGAUAUUGAAUUUGGGUACGAUCUGUACAGGAUAGGUGGGAGCCGUUGAAUCUUGAGCGCCAGCUUGAGAGGAGGCAUCCUUGGGAUACCACCCUGAUCGUAUCUAGGUUCUAACUUGGUACCGUGAUCCGGUGCGAGGACAGUGUCAGGUGGGCAGUUUGACUGGGGCGGUCGCCUCCUAAAGAGUAACGGAGGCGCCCCAA